ACCAACAGGGAUUGCCUCAGUAACGGCGAGUGAAGCGGCAACAGCUCAAAUUUGAAAUCUGGCCCUUUCAGGGCCCGAGUUGUAAUUUGGAGAAGAUGCUUCGGGUGCGGCCCCGGUCUAAGUUCCUUGGAACAGGACGUCACAGAGGGUGAGAAUCCCGUACGUGCCCGGUGGUCGCCCCCGUGUGAAGCUCUUUCGACGAGUCGAGUUGUUUGGGAAUGCAGCUCAAAAUGGGUGGUAAAUUUCAUCUAAAGCUAAAUAUUGGCCAGAGACCGAUAGCGCACAAGUAGAGUGAUCGAAAGAUGAAAAGCACUUUGGAAAGAGAGUUAAACAGUACGUGAAAUUGUUGAAAGGGAAGCGCUUGCAACCAGACUUGCGCGCGGCCGAUCAUCCGGUGUUCGCACCGGUGCACUCGACCGCGCGCAGGCCAGCAUCGGUUUGGGUGGCUGGAGAAAGGCCACGGGAAUGUGGCUCCCCUCGGGGAGUGUUAUAGCCCGCGGCGCAAUGCAGCCCACCCGGACCGAGGACCGCGCUUCGGCUAGGAUGCUGGCGUAAUGGUUGUAAGCGACCCGUCUUGAAACACGGACCAAGGAGUCUAACAUCUAUGCGAGUGUUUGGGUGUCAAACCCAUACGCGGAAUGAAAGUGAACGGAGGUGAGAACCCUUAAGGGUGCAUCAUCGACCGAUCCUGAUGUCUUCGGAUGGAUUUGAGUAAGAGCAUAGCUGUUGGGACCCGAAAGAUGGUGAACUAUGCCUGAAUAGGGUGAAGCCAGAGGAAACUCUGGUGGAGGCUCGCAGCGGUUCUGACGUGCAAAUCGAUCGUCAAAUUUGGGCAUAGGGGCGAA
rnacentral:rRNA from 1 species